rnacentral:rRNA from 1 species
UACGGAGGGUGCAAGCGUUGUCCGGAUUCAUUGGGUUUAAAGGGUGCGCAGGCGGGCGAUUAAGUCAGGGGUGAAAGACGGUUGCUCAACAAUCGCAGUGCCUUUGAUACUGGUCGUCUUGGGUAACCUUGAGGUAGGCGGAAUGGGUGGUGUAGCGGUGAAAUGCAUAGAUACCACCCAGAACUCCGAUUGCGAAGGCAGCCUACUGGAGGUUUACCGACGCUCAGGCACGAAAGCGUGGGGAUCAAACAGG